rnacentral:tRNA from 1 species
AUUCUGUAUUCAAAAGUGAUUUUAAAUUGCAAAUUUAAAGGUGAGGGUUCUCCAGAGUUUA